GACGAACGCUUGCGGCGUGCCUGAGAAAUGCAAGUCGAGCGAGAGAGCAAUCUCUAGCGGCGAACGGUUGAGUAACACGUAAGCGACCUGCCCCGUACCGGGGGAUAGCCGGACGAAAGUGCGAGUAAUACCGCAUAGGCUCAAUAGCUCGCAUGAGGUAUUGAGUAAACUUACGGGGGUACGGGAGGGGCUUGCGGCCUAUCACCUAGUUGGUGAGGUAACGGCUCACCAAGGGGACGACGGGUAGCGGGUCUGAGAGGAUGGACCGCCAGACUGG
rnacentral:rRNA from 1 species